AAAGUCGUAACAAGGUUUCCGUAGGUGAACCUGCGGAAGGAUCAUUACCGAGAGACGGGCCCUAACCGGUCCCAACUCUUCACCCCUGUCUACCGAAAUAUGUUGCUUUGGCGGGCACGAGAAGGGGUCAGCCUUCCCCGGGGAAGCCCGGUUGGCCCGCCAAAGGCCUCAAUAAACCCUGUGAUCAGUGUCGUCCGAGUAAAAACAAUCGUUAAAACUUUCAACAACGGAUCUCUUGGUUCCG
rnacentral:misc_RNA from 1 species